rnacentral:rRNA from 1 species
CUACGGGAGGCAGCAGUGGGGAAUAUUGGACAAUGGGCGCAAGCCUGAUCCAGCCAUGCCGCGUGAGUGACGAAGGCCUUAGGGUUGUAAAGCUCUUUUGGCGGGGAAGAUAAUGAUGGUACCCGCAGAAUAAGCUCCGGCUAACUUCGUGCCAGCAGCCGCGGUAAUACGAAGGGAGCUAGCGUUGUUCGGAAUCACUGGGCGUAA